rnacentral:rRNA from 1 species
GAUGAACGCUGGCGGCGUGCCUAAUACAUGCAAGUCGAGCGAACAGACGAGGACCUUGCUCCUCUGACGUUAGCGGCGGACGGGUGAGUAACACGUGGAUAACCUACCUAUAAGACUGGGAUAACUUCGUGAAACCGAAGCUAAUACCGGCUAAUCUAUUGAACGGCAUGGUUCAAGAGUGUAAGACGGUUUUGCUGUCCCCUACCGAUGGGCCCGCGCCGCAUUAGCUAGUUGGUAAGGUAUCGGCUUACCAAGGCAACGAUGCGUAACCAACCUGAGAGGGUGAUCGGCCACAGUGGGACUGAGACACGGUCCAGACUCCUACGGGAGGCAGCGGUAGGGACUCUUGCGCGAUGGGCGAAAGCCUGACGGAGCAACGCCGCGUGGGUGAUGAAGGUCUUCGGGUGGUAAGACUCUGUUAUUAUGGAAGAACAAAUGUGUAAGUAACUAUGCACGUCUUGACGGUACCUAAACAGAAAGCCACGGCUAACUACGUG